rnacentral:lncRNA from 1 species
UUUUGUAUUAUAUGUAAACAGAUUACAAUCAAUGAAUUGAGGCAUACAAUUUUUCCUCUCCAAAUUCUUCCCUACACUCUUCCUUCUUUUUUUCACCUAGUCUCGUGACAUGGUAUCAGAGCCUCCCUUGAGGUUAUGAAUUAACUAUCGCUUCUGCUUUGAUUGCCUCACGUGGAACUCCAAUCUGCAAAAGAGAGUUGCCAUAGGAAUCAUUAUUUCUGAAAGGGAAGAAAUUCUUCAUCAUGCCUAAAGCACAAGAUCUAACCUCGACUUCAAACAACCAGCUUGCAGGAGAAGCUACGCCACAAACAUUAGGCAACCAAGACUUGUCUGCUGUGACAUCUGCCUCUGAACAACAACUCAGCCAGGCCUAGGCACAAGUACAGGCCCAAUACACAUAGUGGCAACCAUUCCAGGCUCAAUUCAAAUUUGGGGCAGCCCUUCUUGGGCCAUACUUACUAGUGGAUACCAUAUCCAUGGUUCCAUGGGCCAGGCCCAAAUACAUCACUGCCAGGAGGCUACCAGAGCAACGUUGGGAUCAAUGGAGGCCCAUCAACUAGCGAGGGGGCAAGCCCAACCAUCGACCCAGAGCAGACGGGCGGGUCAACUGGACCGAGUAUGGGAACGAAUCCCUACCCGACUUUUCUCAAUGCGGGUCAUGCGGGUUAGGGAACUGGACCGAGUGGUUUGGGUGUGGGAGGAAAUCCCUACCUGAAUCUCGGACCUGGAAUUUUUCCGGUACCAGAUGUUCGCUACUGACAGCCGGACAGAGCUCGGCGACCCACUUCACACAACAAACGCUGACGGACCAGAAUUAAAGCUCAUAAGCCAACAGUUGACCGGUGCCGACAACUCAAAUUGGUCGCGAGAAUUCCGGCGUGCGCUAGUAACAAAAGAUAAAGAGAGUUUUCUUGAUGGAAUGAUUCUGAUUCCGUCCGACAAGAGAAUGGCACGACUUUGGAAGAAAUGCAACCAACUGGUUAGAACAUGGAUAGGGAAUUGCAUCGCAUCCGAAGUCACAACCGGACUUCCUCCAACGAAGGAUUCAAAACAAAUGUGGGAGCAUAUUAAGGAGAUGUAUGGAAAACUUGAUCAAAUCAAGAUUUUUUCGUUAACACAGCAAAUCUCGGAGCUUAAACAGGGGAAUAUGACCAUCGCAGCCGUUAACAAUAAACUUUCGGCUUUGUGGAACGAGCUGGAAGCAGCCGAAGAGAAAUUCGACUGGAAAAACCCUAUUAUACAACAGUACAAAAGCAUGUGGGAAAGGGAAAAGGCGACGAGGUUCUUGCUUAUUCUAAACGAGACUUACCUCUUGUUUCGCUCCCAGAUCCUUACCAUGGAGCCCAUGCCAAGCCUCAGCCACAUCCACCAGCUUGCCAUCCAAGAAGAGAAUCAACAAAGGACCACGUACUACGGUAAAGGUGGAGACGGAAUGGUUCUGGUGGCGAGAAGCCAUGUCUGCCCUUUGCCAAGAAACGCAGGGGGCAGAGGAUAGAGAGGGGCACAAUUAGGGUUCACGAUCACUUCUGGUAGCAAGUGGAUCCGACGGCUCACACGGGAGCAACUUGACUGGAUCAAAUGGGCCGCGAGGAAGCAGCUUCUAUGGGCCGGAUGGCUCGCGUGGAUUUCUGGCUAGUGGAUCAGACGGCCCAUAUGGGCCAACUUUGGCCCAAGUCUUGCAGCCCACAAACAGGCCCUCCUUAGCCACAAGAAACAUUGCUUCCAAAGGAAAAGGUAAAAUGUAUUAUGACUAUUGUAAACGUCCACAUCAUACAAUAAAAAACUACUAGAAGUUGCAUGGCAAACCUAGAGAAAAAGAAAAAAAGGAAAUUUUCAAUAAUUUUUCAGGUAUCGGGGCAACCAACAGAUAAGACAAUAACCCAUGAUCAAUAUCAUGAGCUGAUGGAAGCCUUAAGGAAAUUGGAUGCUUCUGAUAAAACUGGAAGCUUCACAGGUAUAUCUUAUUGUCUGAUGAAUUCAACUUCAAAGAAUGCAUGGAUUAUUGAUUCAGGUGUUAGUGACCACAUCGUCUAUGAUAAGGGUUUUCUCUCUAAUAUCAAAAAAUUAUCUUUUCCCAUAUUAGUACAACUCCCAAAUGGGAACACCACCCAAGUUGAAAUGACUAGCAUUGUGAAUCUUAGUUCCCUCAUUACACUUCUAAAUGUGCUUUAUGUCCCUGAUUUCCACUUCAAUCUCAUGUCAGUAUCUCGAGUUUACGAAGAAAAUUCCUGCCACAUCUUAUUCAAUUAUGAUAAAUGUUUAUUCCAGGCCAUUUCGACUGGAAACUAAUGGGCUUGGGUAGAGUCUUUCAAGGACUAUAUUUCUGGAUGGAUUUUUCAAACAGUCUUCAAUUGUCUUCUAUUGAAUUCAAUAAAUCAUUGUGUAACACUACUAUCAAUGAUAAGAACUUCCUUAAUCAUCAAAGAUUGGGUCAUUUGCUUUGUUUCCCUGUCCUCAACGUCCUAUCUGCCCAUUAGCAAAAUAGACAAGUGCUCCUUUCCAAAAUAGCACUUCUCGAGUUGAUGAAAUUUUUUCAUUAAUCCAUGUUGAUGUUUGGGGGCCUUAUCACACUUUGAAUCAUGAUGGGUCUCGAUUUUUCCUCACAAUCAUAGAUGAUUUCUCAUGUGUGACAUGGAUUUUCCUAAUGCAAUCAAAAAGUCAAGUUCUUUCUCACCUAAGGACUUUUCUUGCCCUAUCAAAAAAUCAAUUUAGGAAAUCCAUUCAACGCAUUUGUAUUGAUAAUGGUAGAGAAUUCUUUAAUGGUGAAUGUGCUUCCUUUCUUUCCUUGAAUGGAAUUUUGCACGAGAGCUCCUGGCACAUAUACACCACAGCAAAAUGGAGUCGUUCAGCGAAAAACAUCGUCACCUCUUGGAAGUAGCACGUGCCCUUAAGUUUUAGGCAUUUAUUCCUGAAAAUUUUGAGGAGAUUGUGUGGUCACAGUAGCAUAUUUGAUCAAUCGCAUGCCAUCACGCAUUCUAAAAGGGAAAAGUCCCUUCAAGAUAUUGUAUGGAAGGAAACCAAAUCUGAGUCAUCUCAGAGUCUUUGGGUGUCUAUGCUAUGUAACUACAGUAGGGCACAUGAAUAAAAUGGGACCUCGUGCACGUCAAUGCAUAUUCAUGGGGUAUCCAAUUCUGAAAAAGAGAUAUCGGAUUUAUGAACCAUUCACAAGAGAAUUCUUUGUGAGCAAGGAUGUCGUUUUUCACGAAGACAUUUUCCCUUUUUGAGAUGUGAAUCAUUUACCUCAAGAUGAGAGGACAGCUAAUAAGCAAUUUCUAUCAGAAUAAGAUCUAUCUUCUAGAGGAUCCUAUUUUAUUAUUCCUCCUCCAAGACAUCAGAAAUCAUCUGCUGCAUCACCUCCAAUGUCUACUGAGACUUCUACGGAUCAUUCACUUGAAGAACCUUCAAUAGAAAGGGAUUCUCAGAUGACCGCUCCUCCAGAAUCAAGCAAUACUGAAGAAUCAUCUUUGAUGGAACAUGAAGAACCUCGGCGAUCUGGUCGAGUUGGUCGUCCACCAAUUUGGACAAAUGAUUAUAUAUGUGCUUCCUUGGGGUCAUUAGGUACUCGUUACCCUAUCUCGUCUUAUAUUUCAUUUGAUGGGCUAUCAUCAGAACAUUUAUGUUGCAUGAGUCAUAUCUCUGAGGAACAAGAGCUCUCUAGUUAUAAUGAAGCAAUGCAUGAUCCACAUUGGCAAAGGGCUAUGGAGGCAAAAUUACAAGCCCUAAUAGACAAUCAUACUUGGGAUAUCGUGCCAUUACCUACUCAUCGCAAACCAAUUGGGUGCAAGUGGGUAUAUAAGAUUAAAUAUAGAGCAAAUGGUUUUGUAGAGAGGUACAAAGCCCGGUUGGUGACCAAAGGCUUUACAUAGAGAGAAGAUUUUGACUACCACGAAACCUUUUACCCAGUAGCCAAAGAUGUCACAGUUCGUUCUUUUUUGUCGGUUGUUGCUUUUCGUGACCGGCCAUUACAUCAAAAGGAUGUCCAUAAUGCCUUCUUGCAUGGUGAUCUAGGCUAAGAAAUCUACACAGAUCUUCCACUAGGAUUACGGAGACAUGGGGAGUCUAAGGUAUGUCAUCUUCGCAAAUCUCUUUAUGGACUGAAACAAGCCUCUCGACAAUGGUAUGCCAAGUUUACUAAUGCUCUCACGGCUGUUGGAUUCAAACAAUUCAAAUAUGACUAUACUUUAUUCACUUGGAUGAAAGGUAUGUCAUCAUGUUGAUGACAUACUUAUCAUGGGAAAUGCUUAUUCUGCUGUGAAGAAACUAAAAGAGUAUCUACAUUCCACUUUUCAUAUUAAAGAUUUAGGCUCGCCUAAGUAUUUUCUUGGAAUUGAGAUAGCUCGUUCGAAUCAGGGAAUCUCACUCAGCCAGCAGAAAUUCGUAAUGGAGAUUAUAUCAGAAGCAGGACUGUCAGGUUGCAAACCGGCCAUUAUUCCUACCGAGCAGAAUGCCAAGCUGACUUCUGUUAACUAUGAUAUUGGCAUAUAUUCUUCUUCUGAUAAUCCGUUAUUAAAAGAUCUAUCGGGAUAUCAGAGACUCGUAGGGAAACUUAUAUAUCUUACCAUGACUAGGCCAAACAUAUGUUAUGCAGUAUAGACUCUUAGUCAAUUCAUGCACAGUCCAAAACAAUCUCAUAUGAAUGCAGCCUUGAAGAUUGUGAGAUAUUUGAAGACAUGUCCAGGCUUAGGGAUACUUCUUUCUCGGAAAUGCAACAUGGAAAUGACGGCCUAUUGCGAUGCGGAUUAUGCUACAUGUCCUAUGAGCAGGAGAUCUAUCACAGGCUUCUGUAUCAAAUUUGGGGAAUCAUUACUUUCAUGGAAGACAAAGAAGCACUCUACUGUGUCCUUAUCUUUAGUUGAAGCCACAUAUCGAUCUAUGGCCAAAAUUGUUUGUAAAAUAGUUUGGUUAAAGGGGUUUGCUUACGGAUCUCGGGGCACAAGUUAAGGGACCGACUACACUCUUUUGUGACAAUGAUUCAACACUGAAACUUGCAGCAAAUCCUAUAGUUCAUGAGAGGACGAAACACAUAGAGGUCGAUUGUCAUUUUACUCGAGAGAAGAUUCAAGAAGGAGUUAUUGAGACAAGAGGGAUCGGAACCAUGGAGCAACCUACGGACAUAUUCACUAAACCUCUCUGUCAAAGACAACAUGUGUCACACCCCGAUCCUCAGGCACGCGCACAUCCCUUACCUUUGGUCGAUUUUAAAAAUGCAAUAUCCCAAGACUACGUAUCGCCGACCCUUUCUUUUUAAUAGCACAUGCGGAAGCAGUUAUAAAUCCCCAGACAAUAACGUAAUGGGAUAGAAAAGUAGGGCCAUAUUUCCAUACUGAAAUUCAUGACCACACUUUUAUACAGGCGCCUCAAAUUUAUAUAAUGCAUUACUAUUCACGGGGUUUUGAUCUAACACUUAACCACAUAAAAUCAAGGUCUGACAAGACAGGAUGGGAUCUCAGUCCUCAUCCGGAUCGUACUCAGGAUCUUCCUCGUGGUCAUCUUCUUCUCCAAAAUCUUCUUUCUCAUACGGUUCCCCAUCAAGGUUCUCCUCUUCAGAUUCCUCCUCCUCAGGCUCCUCAUCAGAGUUCUGAAAUGGUUAUCCAAUAACCAUUGAGACCACGUCUCAGCAAGUUCUACCCCUUAAGACUCGAUUAGUAAACUAAUACGCUAACCGGGCUACCUAUGCACGCACAGGUCAGAGGACUUACCUUGGCCUCAGAUUCCACCUGCAUAUUAGUACAGUUUAAUAGGCACACAAGUAAUCACAUCACUGAUCGAAGCAUCGAUCAAAUUGAUCUAGUCGAUUACAUGUUAAUCAGACCAUCUCACGGUCAUUUUCAAUCAAUCGGUCAAUUUACAACAUCAGAUCAAUGCAAUGAUCAAUCGACCUAGUCGAUUAUAUGUCAUCUCGACCCUUUCUUGGUCGGCUCAUCUCAUACUAUCUAUAAGUCCGUUCAUAUCAAGAUUGCUCGCUCUAUGCGGAUAAACAGACGGUAUAGCUCGCACUAAGCUGAUAGAGUUAAGGUAUACUGUUCUCGCUAAGCUGACAUAUAGCCCGUAGGCUGAUAUAGUAUACCGGUAUACUGCUCUCGCUAAGCUGACAUAUCGCCCGUAGGCUGAUAUAGUAUACCCCCAAUGCUCACUCUAAACUAAUAAAGUGUACUACUCGUGCUAAGCUGACAUAUCGCCCAUAGGCUAAUAUAGUACACUAGUAUACUGCACUCGCUAAGCUGACAUAUCAGAGCCCGUAGGAUGAUAUAGUAUACUAUCCAACCAUUCAAUCCAUUCCAUCUUUUAUCAUUCUCGAUAAAAUAGUCGUGUGUGGGGGACACGGUCGGCCUUAGCCAAAAUAUAAUAUUUUCUUUUCCAUAACUCCCACAUUUUCUGUAGUCCACUCAAAUAUUUUUGGCAUUAUCAACCGAUGCCCGGUUAUUUUUCAAUUAAUAAUCAAUGAUUAUUCAAUUAAAGAAUAAUUCACAAUUUCACAAAUAAUUCAAUUCAGCACAAAAUAAAGCUCAAUUAAAUAAACGGACUACGCCACGACAAUCAACAUAAAAUUCUGGUCGUCGGCUAUUCCUGCUUAAUUUCCAGAAAAUAAAUAAAUAAUUAAAUUAAUUUCGAAAAUUAAUAAAUAAAAGCAAUAAAUCCAAUUUAUGCCCGUAAUGCCGAAUUGGAAGCGGAGAUGAGCUCGAAAAAUUACCGAGACUCGUUCAAUAAAUAACAUAGCAUAUCUACUUGCUAAGUACACUAACCAUUCUCUUAACAUGCAUAGGUAAAUCCCUAAUUUAAUUAUUCCAACAUAAUCUAACCACCUAAUUGCACUUAAUUAAAUCUAAUCAACCCUUAAGCAUAAUUAGCAAACUAAGAAAGCAUUAGUGAGUAAAACUCACUUGAUUAAAAGCGGGGACCGGGACACCGCAACGGCGACGCGACGGCGGCCGAAUUCCAAACUUUUGGCGGCGUCGACGAUCACUCGGACCGGGUCCAAAGGCCUUGCCUCACGGGCUUGGGCUUCAAAAGAACUUGCUGGACUUCACUGGAUUAUGGGCUGAACUGCAGCUUCAAACUGGGCUGAAUCAAGACUGAACAUGGGCUUCAAAUAGACUUAGAAUGGACUGUUUGGCUUGGGCCGAACGUGCAGGCUUUGCUGGCCAACUGCUGCUCGUGUGGGCUUCAAAGAGCAGGGCCGAACAGCUAUUGAAUUUCACGUGGGUUGCUGGCGUUGAUGGGCUUCAAAUACUGAAGUGAAUUUGUGGGCCUGGUCUUCGAAUGGCCCAGAUGCACGGACUGGGCUGCUUGACUGACCUUCACGGGCCGAACAAGAGAAGCAGAAAAAGGGGAAAGCAGCUGCUGACGUUGGGUUCGGUGGAGAGAAGAACCGGUGGAGCGUCGAACGUGAAGAAGUUGCUGACUUCGACGGCAGCCCACGGAGGACUUGGCUCGGUGGUUGAUGGACGGAGAGAAGAGACGAUGAGGCUUCAUCCGUUUCUGCUCAACGUCGCUGGACAGAGGGCAAGCGAGAAACGGUGACACAAAAAUGGAGAAAUCAACAUUGUGGGAUGCUGCUAGGCCAUCCCGGUGGUGCCGCACGUGAGACAGAGAGGACGAUCGGUGGGUUUGCUGGUUUCGUUGAUUCCGUUGAAGAUGGAAGGCGUCCGCUGGCAGCUUCGGUCAACCACAUCUCACCGGAGAAGAAGCUUGACUGAAGGGAGGUCCUUCAUGGACAUGUGGCAGCAACCGUGGAGAUUCGUGGUCUUCAGCUGAGGAAAUUCUGACCGAAGAAGACACAAGCAGAGGAGAUUGAAAGUGGAGCAAGCUUCGGUGGAGAGAGGGCACUACUCGGUUGACUGUUGGACGAAAGAGGAUGGAACGGUGGGGAGAAUCGGAGGGCUGAGGGAGCAUGAUGGUGUCGUUGGAUGAUGGUGGACGGUGAUGAUGAUGAUGCGGUUUGAAGCCGUGGCAACUGUGGAGACGGCAGCAGGGAAAUCGGUGGCUUCGGUGGUGUUGAAAAUGCUGAAGACAGACCGAAGGAAACCAAAUGAAAGGCAGAAGUAAAAUGGUUCUUCGGCUGAGGUAGGGAUCGAGCGAGGAGGAGAAGAUCGGCAAAAGCUGGUCCGAGAAGUUGGAUGAGAGAGAGACAAAAGUCCACAAGCUUAUCCUAUAUCACUAAUGCUUGG